GUUCAAUGAACCUCAUAUCCUUUUUCCGCUGUCUUCUUCAUCACCUGAUACACUACAAAAGCAAAGAAAGAUGAGAAUUCUCUGAUCAUGGCUCUGUCCUCACUCUCUCUUGUUGCUUCACAGUUCACCUACUUACAGUGAUAUUACAGGGAAAAUAUGACAGAGGAUAACCUAAUGUGGGCAAUAAUGGAGCUUGACAAAGCUUAUUCUCUAUCAAUUAUCGAUAGUACUGCCCUUCAAAAUUUUGGAAAUGAUUACAUUGCCCUUCCUUUCAGUGAAAUAGGCAGCAUUGUGAAGUGGAAAACUAGCAUAAUGGUGCCGGCAAAUCCUCAUUCUGAUAAACCAUGUAUCUGCAAGACCAUUAAAUAUUCCCUAAAGAAGAGGGAAUGCUAUUUCCACUUAUAAGGGAGUAGGAGUCAAGAGGACUAGAGGAACAGAGCUGUAAUAUAUGGGAUAUGGCAAUGUAAUCCAUAUAGGAGAGUCCACUUCUCUUAGCAUAUAUGUGGUGACAGAGAAGAGUUCCCCUUUCAAACUUCAUUUGUGUGUGAUAAUAGAUAGUUGGCUGUGAAAGUGACCCCACUGUCAAGUCUAUCAAUCUCUUACUAUUGCUAUUUGACAUUAAAAAAAGAAAAUAAUAAUGAAAAAAUCAUGUUUCAACAUUAUGGAUAAAUUAGAUAUAGAUGAGGUGAGUGAAGUGAGACAUGUCAUCGUGUUAUUUCUGUACUUUAAUUUUGCUGUGUAGAAGUGUUUAUUAAUGAAUUAUGAACUUAUGGCAUCU